GGAGGGGGCGAGCGUUAUUCGGAAUUACUGGGCGUAAAGAGCGUGUAGGCGGUCGGGUAAGUUAGGCGUGAAAUCCUGUGGCUUAACCACAGGCCUGCGUCUAAAACUGCCUGACUAGAGUAUUGGAGAGGGAAGUGGAAUUCCUAGUGUAGCGGUGAAAUGCGUAGAUAUUAGGAGGAACACCGGUGGCGAAGGCGGCUUCCUGGACAAAUACUGACGCUAAGACGCGAAAGCCAGGGGAGCAAACGGGAUUAGAUACCCCGGUAGCCCUGGCUGUAAACGAUGGGCACUAGGUGUAGGAGGUAUUAACCCCCUUCUGUGCCCGGAGCUAACGCAGUAAGUGCCCCGCCUGGGGAGUACGGUCGCAAGGCUG
rnacentral:rRNA from 1 species